rnacentral:lncRNA from 1 species
UAAGCCAAGUAACUUAGAAGUUAACCAUAUGAAAAAAGCAAUGACAAUCAAACUAACCUCUUCUUUUCAUAUGAAGUAUAAUCUGUUCUCUAUUUUGCCUUUGUGAAGAAUGCACUUUGCACUCCCUACACACAAAAUAGCAUACAUUGAAAAUGCCUAGUAACAUUAUAAAAACUAUAAAUAUAUAGUACUGCAUAUGUAUCAUAUACUAUAUUGUAUACGUAUUUGGACAUAAGGUAUAAAGAUUUACUAACAUAAUUAAGCUUAAAUUUAACAAAAGAAGUAAUUACAAAUUGAAAUCAAACGAUACUAUAGUUAAUUCUGAGUAAAUUUUACAAAUAGUAUUAUAAAUUGUUAAAAAAAUAACACCAUUAAAAAAACUCAUUACUUAAAUCUGCAAUUCUAUUAAAAACACAUCACUAAAAAUUAACUCCAAGGAAAGGGGAUUAACAAAUUAUACCUUUUUAAGAGUUGUAAUUGUUUUAUCUAUAUGUUGAGCUUGACCCACUGGAUUUGAAUCCUCAAUUGACUUAGGGACAGGCACGAAGUCUAAGGUUAAACAUAUGGUAAAAAUUACACUGGAUCAAGGCAUGAUUAGAGUUGAUGGAUGCAAUAUGGAAUAUAAGUUUUUGGAGAGAGAGACAACCAAACUUCACACUGGAUCAUAUUUUUUAGAGAUAGAGAGAGUUCUACUUUUCAACAGCGGAGAGAACAAAUUCAAGCUUGGGCAUAAAAAGAAAAAAUAGAAGCUUCAUAGCACAAUAAUUAACCACAAUCCUCUGUUUUUCUAAGUGCAAAUAGAAAAAAGGAAUCAAAAUAUUCAACACAAAAUCUUCACAUUAGCUCAAAAACUAUAUUAUUUCCAGAGGUUUCCAAUUUCCCAGCACGGAACGACAAACAUAAAAGCAUUAAAAAUAUAUAAUUGCAAAAAAAAAAAUAACAAUUCCAAGAAACUAAAUGCAAAGUUAGCCAGAUCUGCACAGUAACACAAACCCAUUACUUGAAAUUAAGAGCAUUGCGGCUCACCCUGAAAACACCCAUUUUGCGUGAGGAAGAGAAGCGAUGUUGCUCUGGCUGCUGAGUGCUGCUGGCUCCAAAGCAGUUUGUCUUCCAAAACUUUAUAAGAGCAAGUCCAACCCUUUAAAGCCACUGUAAAUCGCCAUGGAUUUACAUCAUUCUGCUUGCCUAAAAAAAGCAAACAAAAAAAGAAAAAAAUGGGAAGUAUAAAAUUCAAAUGACCCUUGAUGAACAUAACCCAGAAAUUUUCCUUGUAUUCCAUAAAUGCAAUAAAACAAAAGUCAGUGUCUCCAUUUUCCAAACAACCAAGCAAGCAAGCAACAAACUUCGAAAACCCUAAUUCGAACCAAUUUAGAACUAUAACCAAGUAAACCACUUAAUAAAAAAAAACCCACUAAUUUUCUCAAAAACCCAACAAAUUUAAAGGAUACAGAUGAUAAAUCCCCGUAAAUUCCCAAAUUUGAAAACCAGAAGAUAAAAAAAAGGCAAAGAGGCUUAUCUUUAUUCACUAAUCGGACACUAACAGAAAAAACUCUAAUUCAUAUUAUUCAGAUUACAAAUACACAGGGACCAUAUAGCUAAUAAUGCUAGACAAUUUGUCCCUAAUCCAACACAAAAAUUGUUCUGGUUAUACAUACGAUACCCGCCUAAAUAUCAACCAAUUCCAAAUUAAAAUGGAAAAUGAAACGGAGCAACAUAAAUUGAAUACAAUUUGGGGAAAUUUUGGGGAAAAUUAUCUCACCUGGAGCUCCGAAUCUCCAAGAGGUCCCGAUCCGAGCAGGCUCCGAAUUGGGUUGCUGAAGAUGGUGAUCAAGGAAGGGUUUUAGAGGUGGGUUUGAUCAGAUCAAAGCCGAAGCCAUUAGGUUUGGGGGGAGAGGAACACAGAGCCACUGUGAGAGAGAGAGAGCAUGCGUUGUCUUUUUCUUCUAUCCAGCCACUCGAUCGCAGUUCCUUCACAAAAAUUAUAUGCAUGUGUUAGUUUUUCAAGUUCCAGUUUUGCAGUCACCUAAUCGAUCAUAACACCAUUUGCAAAUAUGACAAACAUAAACAAUUAAGUCAGCAACAUGAUAUGCCAUCCCUUUCAUAUUGCAAUUAUAUAAAGAAAAAAAGAAAUGAACCAAAAUAAAAUUAUACUAUAAUCCCAUUAUAUGAAGGCCAAACUCUUGAGUUGGGGCUGGUGGCCGUUGACCACAUCAUCGCCUCCAUUUGAGAGAAAAGAGUUUGUUUGGCUCUUUUGUCCAAUUAUUUACUCUAACCGUAUUUAAAUGAAGAAGGACAACACCUAUGUUGCUCCAUUCUUGUGAUCUAAAUUUGAAGACGGCCCAUUGGGAGGGGCAGUUAUAAGUGUCAUCCUUUUUGUUUCUCCUAUCCCUGGAUUGUCAACAAAAAAAAACAUCAAACGAAGUGCAAUACAAUCCAAUUUAAUGAUCACAAAAUUUGAGCUCCAAACAAAGUCACAGGUCAGCAAUCACCUAAUUGAUCAUAACACCAUUCACAAAUAUGAAAAACAUAAACAAUUAAGUCAGCAACAUGAUAUGUCAUCCCCUUCAUAUAAACACAGAUUGCAAUUCAUAUACGCCACAUUAUUUACAACAAUUACAAAUCAAGAAACAAUUAAAUCAUCAUCAUGAAUUACAAUGUAAUAUCAACACCAUCAAUUAGAAGAGACAAAGCUACAUGGCAAUAAACAUACAGAGAGGAACUGCUUC